CGGCAGCCGCGACCCGCGCGUGGGGCACGGUAGGGUGUGGUGUGGGUGUUCUCGCUGUUCUGACAGCUUGCUAGACCCAGUGUGGGAAUUUGUGUGAAUAAACCUGAUUUUCCAGGUGAUUAAUGCAGGUGAGUAACUCCAGCACUUAUUUAUGCCCUCUUCAUGUUCUUUUUCACUUACGGUAGUUAAUUAUCUUCCUGUCAUUCACAUUUUAUCAUCACAGUCACUCUCGAAAUGCUAUCUGACUUGACAGGGGGGAAAAAAAGACAAGAAAUCUACCCGCCUUCAUCUUGGGAAAGUUUUAGCCAAUGCAUCCAGAAGUACAACUAUGCUCU
rnacentral:lncRNA from 1 species